ensembl:lncRNA novel transcript
UUCAUGCAACAGCAGGGACUCAGCUGUGGUCCCGGAACCUGGGUAUCUCUGUGCUCUUGGGGACCUGGUCCACCCAUGGCUGCCCAUAGACCAAUCAGCAUGCACUUUCUCCUUUCUGAGCCCAUAACAUCCCCGGACUCAGCCAGACUCACCAUCUGCGGGAAGGAGCUCCCCACUUUGGGUCUCCUCAGUUCUUCCAGAUGAGUGUCCUGCAGAAAGGAGAUACCCACUCUAGGUCUCCUCACUGCAGAGACCUGGAUACUUAACAGGACGACCUGACUGUGGAAAGGAGUUACCCACUUUGGGUCUCCUGAGAGCUGUUCUGUCCCUCACCGAAGCUCCUCUGUGCCUUGCUCACCCUCCAGUUGUCUGCGUACCUCAUUCCUCAUUGAUGUGGAACAAGAACUUGGGACAGGAUGAAUGGUGGGAUUGAAAGAGUGGUAAACAAGCAGGGCUGAAACACACCACUCUGCUUGCCAUGUUGUGGAUGACAAGAAGGAGAGAAUAGCUGCAGCCCUUCGGGAGGCCAGGCACAGGGACUCCCCAAGCCAGGGUUGUGACACCCUCUUUGGGCUCUGCAAUUACUUGUGUCUCCAAGCUUCUAGGUUCCACUACGUUCCCCUAGUCCAGAUGCGAGUGCCCACAGUGAAAGCCGCAUGCAGUACAUCUGGUCCAGCCACAGCCUUGCAUGGAGCUGGCAUCUGUGCUGGGGCCUGUAGCUGCCCGCCCCACCACAGCAACCAGUGUGCCUGGCUGUGCAUAGUGGCUGAACCCGCGCUUACUCAUGCACACUUCC